GACGAACGCUGGCGGCGUGCUUAACACAUGCAAGUCGAACGGUGAAGCGCCUUCCUUUUUGGUGGGUGUGGAUGAGUGGCGAACGGGUGAGUAACACGUGAGUAACCUGCCCCCUUCUUCUGGAUAACCGCAUGAAAGUGUGGCUAAUACGGGAUAUUCUGGGUCUGUCGCAUGAUGGGUCUGGGAAAGAUAUUGUUUCGGUGGGGGAUGGGCUCGCGGCCUAUCAGCUUGUUGGUGGGGUGAUGGCCUACCAAGGCGGUGACGGGUAGCCGGCCUGAGAGGGUAGACGGUCACACUGGGACUGAGACACGGCUCAGACUCCUACGGGAGGCAGCAGUGUGGGAUAUUGCGCAGUGGGCGCAAGCCUGAUGCAGCGACGCCGCGUGAGGGAUGGAGGCCUUCGGGUUGCGAACCUCUUUCGCCAGUGAAGCAGGCCUGCCUCGUUUGUGGGUGGGUUGACGGUAGCUGGAUAAGAAGCGCCGGCUAACUACGUG
rnacentral:rRNA from 1 species